rnacentral:rRNA from 2 species
AGUUUGAUCCUGGCUCAGAUUGAACGCUGGCGGCAUGCCUUACACAUGCAAGUCGAACGGCAGCACGGGGGCAACCCUGGUGGCGAGUGGCGAACGGGUGAGUAAUACAUCGGAACGUGUCCUGUAGUGGGGGAUAGCCCGGCGAAAGCCGGAUUAAUACCGCAUACGAUCUACGGAAGAAAGCGGGGGAUCGCAAGACCUCGCGCUAUAGGGGCGGCCGAUGGCAGAUUAGCUAGUUGGUGGGGUAAAGGCCUACCAAGGCGACGAUCUGUAGCUGGUCUGAGAGUGACGACCAGCCACACUGGGACUGAGACACGGCCCAGACUCCUACGGGAGGCAGCAGUGGGGAAUUUUGGACAAUGGGGGAAACCCUGAUCCAGCAAUGCCGCGUGUGUGAAGAAGGCCUUCGGGUUGUAAAGCACUUUUGUCCGGAAAGAAAACUUCUGCCCUGAAUACGGUAGGGAGGAUGACGGUACCGGAAGAAUAAGCACGCGAAUAUCAU